rnacentral:SRP_RNA from 1 species
GCCGGGCGAGGUGGUAGGCGCCUGUAGUCCCAGCUACUCGGGAGGCUGAGGCAGAAGAAUGGCGUGAACCCAGGAGGCAGAGCUUGCAGUGAGCCGAGAUUGCGCCACUGCACUCCAGAAUGGGUGACAGAGUGAGACUCCAUCUCAAAAAAANNNNNNNNNNUUUGAGAUGGAGUCUCACUCUGUCACCCAUUCUGGAGUGCAGUGGCGCAAUCUCGGCUCACUGCAAGCUCUGCCUCCUGGGUUCACGCCAUUCUUCUGCCUCAG